CUAAAAUUCAGGAUUUUGGGGUUUUAUUUUCUUAAAAUUCAGGAUUUUGGGAUUUUAACCUCAGAAAAUUUGGGAUUUUGGGGUUUUAGCCCCAGAAAAUUUGGGAUUUUUGGGUUUAAUCCUCCCAAAAUUGAGGAUUUUGGCGUUUUAACCCCACAAAAUUCAGGAUUUUGGGGUUUUAACCCCUCAAAAUAAAAUUCAGGAUUUUGGGGUUUUAACCCCUCAAAAUUUGGGAUUUUGGGAUUUUACCCCUCGAAAAUCCAGGAUUUUGGGGUUUUUGGGGGGUCCCGAGGGUCUGAACCCCCCAAAUUUGGGGAUCUGAUUUUUGGGGUCCCCCCAGGACCUUUUGGGGUCCCUUCCCCCCAAGUUUUUAGGAUUUAUGGGGGCAGAUUUUGGGGUUUAAUCCUCCCAAAACUCGGGAUUUUGGGAUUUUAACCCCAGAAAAUUCGGGAUUUUGGGGUUUAAUCCUCCCAAAAUUGAGGAUUUUGGGAUUUUAGCCCCAGAAAAUUCAGGAUUUUGGGGUUUUAGCCCCAGAAAACUUGGGAUUUUGGGGUUUAAUCCUUAUAAAAUCCAGGAUUUUGGGGUUUUAUUCUCUCAAAAUUUGGGAUUUUGGGAUUUUAGCCCCACAAAAUUCAGGAUUUUGGGGUUUUAACCCCAGAAAAUUCGGGAUUUUGGGGUUUUUGGGAGGGUCUGAGCCCCCCAAAUUUUGGGAUCUGAAUUUUGGGGUCCCCCAGGACCUCCUGGGGCCGCCGCCCACGCGGGUCCCGGCCGCUCGCGCCGCCAACGUCGCCUUCGGCUUCCUGCGCUUCCGGAGCCGCGUGCGCGCGGGGAGCCUGCCCCCGGUGCUGUUCCGGGGGUCCCUCCCCACGUGCUCGGCUCAGUACGAGCGGCUCUUCGACACCACGCGGCUCCCGGGGGAGCACCGGGGUACGGACCCCAAAAACCCCCCAAAACCCCCCAAAAACCCCAAAAACCCUCAAAAACCACCCAAAAUCCCCCCCAAAAAAACC
rnacentral:lncRNA from 1 species